GCUGUGCUAGAGCAGUACCCUGUAGAGAUAGUUUUGUUGGUUUUUCUAUGUACAUACUGUUAUGCUAGUGGUACUCAUUAGAACGAGGUGGUUUUAUAGCUUUUGUAUGUACAGUGAACCUUGUUAUAUUUUAUAUAUACAUGUUUUAGUUUUAGCAGCUCUGUACUUUGGUUGUAGCUCCUAUUUGUUUGCAGAUACAGUUAUCGCUUCGUAUACACGAAAAAUUUCUAUAUUUACGGCGAGUUUAUUGGCGUGUCCGAAAAAAUAUGGUAAUCCGGGACGUGACAUCUGAUGCCAUGUUG
rnacentral:lncRNA from 1 species